rnacentral:tRNA from 1 species
GUCCUGGUGGCACAAUAGUUAAGUAUUUGGCUGCUAACCAAAAGGUUGCAGGUUCAAACCCACCCAGUGCU